rnacentral:rRNA from 1 species
UACGGGGGGGGCAAGCGUUGUUCGGAAUUACUGGGCGUAAAGGGCUCGUAGGUGGCCAAUUAAGUCAGACGUGAAAUCCCCAAGCUUAACUUGGGAACUGCGUCUGAUACUGAGUGGCUUGAAUUCGGGAGAGGGAUGCAGAAUUCCAGGUGUAGCGGUGAAAUGCGUAGAUAUCUGGAGGAAUACCGGUGGCGAAGGCGGCAUCCUGGACCGAGAUUGACACUGAGGCACGAAGGCUAGGGGAGCAAACGGG